rnacentral:misc_RNA from 1 species
AGACUAAGAGGUAGAAAAAAUGAAUAAAAUUAUUGGAGAAAAAAAGGAAUCUGAGAUCCUAAAUCCAAAUCCUCAGGAGAUUCUAGUCAUAGGAGCUGGUUUGCCCAGGACUGGGACCUUGUCCCUGAAGGUCGCCCUGACCCGGCUGUACAGUGCAAGAUGCUACCACAUGAUGGAGACCUUCAAGGGAUCCCAGGAGCAUGUUGAUCUUUGGUUGAAUGCAGCUGAUGGUAAAAACUCUGCUGAAGACUGGACAACAUUUUUUAAAAAAGAGGGAUAUAUAUCCGGAGUUGAUUAUCCCUUCUCCUUGUUCUGGAAGGAUCUGGUGACUGUGUAUCCUAAUGCUAAGGUUGUCCUGUCUACCCGUGAACCUGAGAAAUGGUAUACAUCUGUGUAUGAAUCUAUCUGGCAGGUUCAAUUAUUCAAAGAGAACUCAUGGACUGCUCAUCUUCUCUUUAAGAUGCUGGACAAAAAAAGACCAGUGAACUGGAUGGCUAAACUGAUGGAAACUAAGGGACCGGGCAUGGAUUUAUCAAUGCACGAGGCUAUCACUGCAGGACCGGAUACAGCCAAACAGUAUUUUAUAGAUUGGGAGGAGAAUGUUAAGGCCUCUAUCUCUGCCGAGAGAUUACUCGUUCACAGUGCAAAGGAGGGAUGGAAACCUCUUUGUGAUUUUCUUGGAUUUGAUAUUCCGGAUGAACCGUAUCCACGAGUCAACGAUACUGCUUCUAUACAGAAGGCUGUUCGAAUGAUUAAGUUGUUAAAUUUCGGAAUAUUCUACGUUGCUCCCGUUCUUGUAGGAGUAGCAGUCUAUUCAUGGCAGGAUUGUAUCUGGGCUGGGCUGGGCUUUCAUCUGUAAUAAACGACAUUUAACUCUCCGAGCCCAAAACAACAAACCACAACUCCUUCUUGCAGAGUAAAUGAGAGACACCAAUCUAGGAGAACAAGCGCGAAGGACGCCUAGGCCUCAUUCCACAGGAAGCAGUUGGGAACCAUUCUCCUCCACUCAGGACGGUCACAGGAACUAGAAGGAGCAAUAAUACACUUUAUUCCGGAGAUAUUACAAAGGAAAGAUCGGAAAGAAAUCAACGUGUGGAAACCAUUAUUGAGAUAAUAAAGAAUAUUAACAUUUA